rnacentral:rRNA from 1 species
CGGGAGGCAGCAGUGGGGAAUUUUGGACAAUGGGCGCAAGCCUGAUCCAGCAAUGCCGCGUGAGUGAAGAAGGCCUUCGGGUUGUAAAGCUCUUUUGUUCAGGGAAGAAACGGUCCGGGCUAAUAUCCUGGGCUAAUGACGGUAC